AUGAGAGAUGGGGCUCAAGAUAAAGCUACUAACUUUUUUCUUUAAUGGUUUAAUUCCAUUUAUCUCUCU
rnacentral:tRNA from 1 species